rnacentral:rRNA from 1 species
AACAACGCUGGCGGCGUGCCUAACACAUGCAAGUCGAACGCGAAAAUCGGCUUCGGCCGAUGAGUAAAGUGGCGCACGGGUGAGUAACGCGUGGAUAAUCUACCCUUCAGUUGGGAAUAACUUAUCGAAAGGUGAGCUAAUACCGAAUAAAACUGCCUGACCACGGUCGGGUAGUCAAAGAUAGCCUCUGCUUGCAAGCUUUCGCUGAAUGAUGAGUCCGCGUACCAUUAGCUAGUUGGUGGGGUAAUGGCCUACCAAGGCGACGAUGGUUAGCUGGUCUGAGAGGAUGAUCAGCCACACUGGAACUGAGACACGGUCCAGACUCCUACGGGAGGCAGCAGUGAGGAAUCUUGCGCAAUGGGGGAAACCCUGACGCAGCAACGCCGCGUGAGUGAGGAAGGUCUUCGGAUCGUAAAGCUCUGUCGGGUGGAAAGAAAUGUAUGGGGUUAAUAGCCUUCAUACUUGACGGUACCACCAAAGGAAGCACCGGCUAACUCCGUG